rnacentral:lncRNA from 1 species
UCCAACUGCACAUUCAUAUAAGAUCCAUUUUGAGUCAGCUAAAGUCCAAUAAACUGAUGAUAAAAUCUGCUAGACCUCGAAAUGAUUAAAACACGAGGAUUUAGUAGUGAGAAGAACCACAAACAGGAUAACAAUGUAAUCCUGGCUUACAAUUAAUCCAGAUAAUUGUGUUAACAAUACUAGAAUCGUAAGGAAUGCCAGACCUUUAACACUGA